UGGAGAGUUUGAUCCUGGCUCAGAUUGAACGCUGGCGGCAGGCCUAACACAUGCAAGUCGAGCGAGAAAGCCUUCGGGUGAGUAUAGCGGCGGACGGGUGAGUAACGCGUGGGAAUCUACCCAGUAGUGGGGGACAACAGUUGGAAACGACUGCUAAUACCGCAUACGUCCUAUGGGAGAAAGGUGGCCUCUAUUUAUAAGCUAUCGCUACUGGAUGAGCCCGCGUCGGAUUAGCUAGUAGGUGGGGUAAUGGCCCACCUAGGCGACGAUCCGUAGCUGGUCUGAGAGGAUGAUCAGCCACACUGGAACUGAGACACGGUCCAGACUCCUACGGGAGGCAGCAGUGGGGAAUAUUGCACAAUGGGCGAAAGCCUGAUGCAGCCAUGCCGCGUGUGUGAAGAAGGCUUUCGGGUUGUAAAGCACUUUCAGUAGGGAGGAAAGGUUAGUAGUUAAUACCUGCUAGCUGUGACGUUACCUACAGAAGAAGCACCGGCUAACUCCGUGCCAGCAGCCGCGGUA
rnacentral:rRNA from 1 species